ACGGGAGAGCUACGUCAGUAGCGCCGAAGGAGCAACCGCCCCGGAAACUCUCAGGCACCAGGACCGUCA
rnacentral:ncRNA from 1 species